GGGCCUGUAGCUCAGUGGUCUAGAGCGGCGGACUCAUAAUCUGCUGGUCCUUGGUUCGAAUCCAAGCGGGCCCACCG
rnacentral:tRNA from 1 species